rnacentral:lncRNA from 1 species
GCGAAUAGCAUAGGCUCGUGCAGGUGCUCUGGCCUCUGACCUCACAGCAGAAUCUUUAGUCGUUCUCUAGCUACGACUCACAUUUCUCGUGUUUCUGGGUGGUCUACCUCUAACUGUAGUGUUACUUGGCCUCAUGUUUUGUAUUGUAUCUUGCUCAGCCAACUCUGGACAGUUACGAAUGAAACGAUCUAAUGAUCCACAUUUAAAACAGGUCUGAUCAUUCAAUCUAUAAUCACCGAUAUGCUAUUUUCCAUAAUAUCUACAUUCAGGUCAGUUUUG